rnacentral:rRNA from 1 species
UACGUAGGGUGCAAGCGUUAAUCGGAAUUACUGGGCGUAAAGCGUGCGCAGGCGGAUGUUUAAGCCAGAUGUGAAAGCCCCGAGCUUAACUUGGGAAUUGCGUUUGGAACUGAGCAUCUAGAGUCUGUCAGAGGGGGAUGGAAUUCCACGUGUAGCAGUGAAAUGCGUAGAGAUGUGGAGGAACACCGAUGGCGAAGGCAGUCCCCUGGGAUAAGACUGACGCUCAUGCACGAAAGCGUGGGGAGCAAACAGGAUUAGAUACCCUGGUAGUCCACGCCCUAAACGAUGUCUACUAGUUGUUGGGAUAGGAAUAUCUCAGUGACGCAGCUAACGCGUGAAGUAGACCGCCUGGGGAGUACGGUCGCAAGAUUAAA